rnacentral:tRNA from 1 species
GCGGGGUUGGUUUAGUGGUAGAAUACGUCCUUGCCAAGGACGGGACAAGAGUUCGAUUCUCUUACCCCGCA